rnacentral:rRNA from 1 species
GGUCCCAGCUGACCCCAUGCCGAACUCAGAAGUGAAACGCCGUAGCGCCGAUGGUAGUGUGGGGUCUCCCCAUGCGAGAGUAGGGAACUGCCAGGC